GUGCAGCAGUCGAGAAACCUCCGCAAUACACGAAAGUGUGACGGGGCCAUCCCGAGUGCCGUCCGCUGAGGACGGCUUUUCCCCAGUGUACACAGCUGGGGGAAUAAGGAGAGGGCAAGCCUGGUGUCAGCCGCCGCGGUAAUACCAGCUCUCCGAGUGGUGGGGACGCUUAUUGGGCCUAAAGCAUCCGUAGCCGGCUGGGCAAGUCCUCCGUUAAAUCCAACGAUUCAAUCGUUGGGCUGCGGGGGAUACUGUCCAGCUUGGGGGCGGGAGAGGCCGACGGUAUUCCCCGGGGUAGGGGUGAAAUCCUAUAAUCCCGGGAGGACCACCAGUGGCGAAGGCUGUCGGCUAGAACGCGCCCGACGGUGAGGGGAUGAAAGCUGGGGGGAGCGAACC
rnacentral:rRNA from 1 species